CCAGGCCAAGCCCUGGCAUGGCUACACAGUAGCUGUGUGCUGUGGAGCUGUCUCCCCUUGCUGGAUCUCCAGGACAGUUUUCCCAUGUCUGCCAGUGCCUCUGGUGUGUCAGCCACCACCUCCAGCCUCAGUGGGUUCAGGAACACUCACCUCCCCAAGUGGCUGAGCGAACAGAACAACCUAAGAAAGAGAAGCGCCCAGAGCUCAGCUCCUUGCCUGUCGGUGGAAUGGGAUCCCCCAGAGUCCAGUGACCCCGUUUCUUCAAUCCUCUGCUUACCAGGUUCCUGAGGGCUGUGCAGACAACCAAAGAGAGACUGGUCAGACCAUGGCAUGGAGCAAGGCAGUCCUCCCUGAGGAGGAGACAGCUGGGAACCCAGAGAUGAGAAGAUGAGGAAACUGAAGCCAGAGAGAUUAAAAUGCUUUGUUGGAAGCCAAAGAUCGGAGCCCAGGAGCCUGAGGAAAUGACCUCAGUGGUUAGGAGUGUUCGCUGCUCUUUCAGAGGAGUUCCAGCACCCAUACAUAAGUUCAUAGCCAUUCAGUUCUAGGGGAUUCGAUACUCUCUGUCUGGUCUCUUUGCACACCAGUACGUAUAGACAUACACGCAGCCAAACAAGUCCAGGAUAAGAUUCAGAAGUCCCAGUGAUGACCACCCAACCUACCUCCCCCUAGGCUCUAGCAUGCCUUACUAGAACCUUCCCCUAGGAAGCCUUGGCAAAGCACCGAUGGCAUUCUCCCAGCAGCUUAUGGUCUAUGAGCUGCUUCUCCACAGAAGACACUAAUGCCAUUCAGAAAGGGCCACACCAGCUCUGACAUCCAGGGACAGGGUCAUGCUGCUGCAAAUCGGCAACCCAACCAAACCAUGGCUGACUUCCUGGGUUGGGAGGAGGGG
rnacentral:lncRNA from 1 species